rnacentral:misc_RNA from 1 species
GAUGAAGAACGUAGCGAAAUGCGAAAAGUAAUGUGAAUUGCAGAAUUCAGUGAACCAUCGAAUCUUUGAACGCACAUUGCGCCCGCUGGAACUCCGGCGGGCACGCCUGUCCGAGCGUCAUUUCAACCCUCAGGCCCCCCUUCGCGGGCGGGCCUGGUGUUGGGGCCCGGCCGCUACCCUGCGGCCGUCCCCUUAAUCCAGUGGCGGCCUCGCCGUGAUCCCUUGCGUAGUAAUGCACCUCGCACCGGAGAGCGCCGUGGCCACGCCGUAAAACCCCCAAUUUUCAAUGGUUGACCUCGGAUCAGGUGGGAAUACCCGCUGAACUUAAGCAUAUCAAUAAGCGGAGGA